rnacentral:lncRNA from 1 species
AGUGAACCACUGAGUUCGCACUGUGGCCAGUCCUGUGUGCCCCUGCUGGAUUCUACUUCUAUGAGGGAGGCAGCAAGGAGUUGGGACUUCACAGGUGAAAGGACUUGCCAGGGUCUUACUUUGUCGCCCAGGCUGGAGUACAGUGGCAUGAUCAUAGCUCAUUGCAGCCUCCACCUCCCUGGGCUCAGGAGAUCCAUCUCAGCCUCCUGAGUAGCUGGGACCACAGGUUUUGUUCAGGUUUAGCACAAGCUGUGAUGAAUAUCUUCAAGCCUCUGCUUCCUGCUGUGGAAUUGUUGCCAAAGGACACAUUCCCAGAUGGGAUUACUGAGUCAGAGGAAGUGGACAUUGAGUGGCUCUCAACAGACAGGCUGUGUUGCUCUCACAGUGCCCAGGUACCACCAGCAAUGUAUACACAUACAGGAAGCGCCGGCUUCCCUGUUGUCUUGUUGCCGUGGCGUGUUGGGGUCUCUAAGACCACCCUGGGUUUGUUGAUUGGCUAGGAGAACUCGCAGAACUCAGCAUACAGUGAUACUCGAGGCUAUGAUGUAUUACGACAACUGGAAAUGAAGCAAAU